GGGUUGUGAGGUUAAGCGACUAAGCGUACACGGUGGAUGCCCUGGCAGUCAGAGGCGAUGAAGGGCGUGCUAAUCUGCGAUAAGCGCCGGUAAGGUGAUAUGAACCGUUAUAACCGGCGAUACCCGAAUGGGGAAACCCAGUGUGAUUCGUCACACUAUCAUUAACUGAAUCCAUAGGUUAAUGAGGCGAACCGGGGGAACUGAAACAUCUAAGUACCCCGAGGAAAAGAAAUCAACCGAGAUUCCCCCAGUAGCGGCGAGCGAACGGGGAGGAGCCCAGAGCCUGAAUCAGCAUGUGUGUUAGUGGAAGCGUCUGGAAAGGCGCGCGAUACAGGGUGACAGCCCCGUACACAAAAGCGCAUGUGCUGUGAGCUCGAUGAGUAGGGCGGGACACGUGGUAUCCUGUCUGAAUAUGGGGGGACCAUCCUCCAAGGCUAAAUACUCCUGACUGACCGAUAGUGAACCAGUACCGUGAGGGAAAGGCGAAAAGAACCCCGGCGAGGGGAGUGAAAAAGAACCUGAAACCGUGUACGUACAAGCAGUGGGAGCACAGGUUUACCUGUGUGACUGCGUACCUUUUGUAUAAUGGGUCAGCGACUUAUAUUCUGUAGCAAGGUUAACCGAAUAGGGGAGCCGGAGGGAAACCGAGUCUUAAUUGGGCGUUAAGUUGCAGGGUAU
rnacentral:rRNA from 1 species